AUGAAUCAUACAAGUGAUUUCUUCUUUUUCUCCCUUUUGCUUGACUGUAAAUCUGUUGUCUCUGCAUCUUUGGUUGCCAGAUCAUUGCAUCUUCUGUGGUUGUGUUGUCCUCCUUCCUCCUCCCUACUGCCAAGUGGUCAUCAGAAUCUUCUUUUAAAGGUAAUUCACAUACACACACAUAUAUAUGAGUCAAAAUGAGCAAUGAGUCACAAUGAGCAAGUUUAAAAAAAAAAAGUUAUUUUUAUUUUCACAUUCUCAAUUAAAAUACCUUCAAAAAGACAUAUGAAUGAUAAAAAUUGAUUUAAUUAAAAAGGUAUCGAAAAAAGUAUCGUUCAGGAACCAGUAUCGAAGUCAAGGUAUUGAUAUCGAAAAUUUCUGAACAAUACCCAGCCCUAGUAGCUUUUUAUUUCUUUUCAUUUAUUUACAGGGUUGAGGCUGCAUUGGCUGUCUAUGCAAGUAACAUACGCACAACAUGUUAAUCAGACAUAUCUUUAUUUUGACAUGUACAAUUCUACAUGUUCUGUAGCUUUUACAUAGACAUAGCUGUCUUAGCCUUUAAUGUAUAUAAUAUAAUGAGAUAUGACACAUUUAGCUAUUAGUCAAAAUUAGUCAAAAAGUUUAUUUUGAGAGGCAUUUGAAAGUUCAUGUAAAUGUGUUGAGUAAAAGGUUUCAUAGCUUAAAUGAACAGCUUGAGAUGUGAACAAAACUGCUGUCUUUUUUCCUACAGUAGAUUGGGCAUCUUUAUUUCCAUCAAUGUAAGAACUAUUUUUAAAUUUAUUGGGAUAGCAUCAUCAACAAAAAAUGCAGUUAAUUUCAUACAAAUGUAAUUCAGUCAUAUGCAUUUUGUAUUUAUUUGUUAUUACAUUGUCCCCCUCUGUACAGUAAAUAACCAUUUUAGAAAUUAUUAUAUUAGAAUUUUCAUUAUUGUUUCAUUACAGUUUAUUUAACUGCUUAGUCAAUUUAUUUUUUUUAAAGUGCAAUUUUGUAUUCCUGUUUAAAGAAUGUUAUUAACUUGUUCUUUUCUGCGUGUGUGUGUCUCUGUGUGUGUGUGUCCUUUACUGUCCUGUCCUGUCCUGUCCUAUCCAUACCUUGAUAUCCAUUUUUCACUCAAACUUUUAUCUUGCUUCAAUCUCUACCUCUCGCCCAUUCUAUUCUUUCUCUUACAAACCAAAAAACAACCUGCUGGCUGCUAAACACCCAAACGCUGCUGCACUGCUUGCUGCUUCGCUUGCUUGCGACCCAAACGCAAUCUUACCCAAAAUGCAAAACCCAAAACGCAUGAACCCAAACGCAAAUGCAAGCUUGCUAACGCAUCUUGAAAAAUAAAGCCACCCGAAAAUACUUGAAACCA
ensembl:lncRNA